AUGCUUCCUUUAGUAGCACAUGUACUAAAAUUGGAAUGAUACAGAGAUUACCAUGGCACCCGCACAAGGAUGACACACAAAUUGAUGAAUUGCUCCAUAUUUUU
ensembl:snRNA U6 U6 spliceosomal RNA